GGAUUAAUGCCCCGUGGUACUAUUAUGUGGCAUCACAUUAUAGUUAAAGCCUUCGGGCGGUAGAAGAUGGCCAUGCGUCCCAUUAGUUUGUUGGUAAGGUAACGGCUUACCAAGACUACGAUGGGUAGGGGCCCUGAGAGGGGGAUCCCCCACACUGGUACUGAGACACGGACCAGACUCCUACGGGAGGCAGCAGUGAGGAAUAUUGGACAAUGGAGGAGACUCUGAUCCAGCCAUGCCGCGUGCAGGAAGAAUGCCCUAUGGGUAGUAAACUGCUUUUAUACAGGAAGAAAAAGGGGCACGUGUGCCCUACUGACGGUACUGUAAGAAUAAGG
rnacentral:rRNA from 1 species